AUGGUGAAGAGACAUGAUGAGAUCGGAGGUCUGCACAAGAUACAGGUCAUAAAGACCUUGCUGAGAAAACAGAUUGCAGUACAGAGGCCGGCUAAAUCCUACCAAAACCAGGAUGGCCACAAGAGCGACUUCUGGUCGUCCUCACUACUAUACUCUCGUCAGCGCCAUGACAGUUUACAAAUCCCAUGGCAAUGUCAGGAACUUACCCUAUACAGUCUAAAAAGGGGAGGCAUGAAUAAUCCACCCCUUGUUUAGCAUAUCAUCAAGAAAUAACCAUAAAACUGGGCAACCAGCAGCCCUCAGGGCUGCUCUGUCUAUGGAGUAGCCAUUCUUUCAUUCAUUUUCUUAACAAACUUGCUUUCACUUUGCACUGCCGACUAGCCCUGAAUUCUUUCUUGCGUGAGAUCCAAGAACCCUCCUCUUGGGGUCUGGAUUGGGACCCCUUUUCCUGUAACAUAUUUCUCUGUCCUGUAAAAACUGUAUAUGCAGAAAACCAAAAGGGACUACAAUUGAAUUAUUAAAACUGAUAAAUUACUUUAAUAAAGUUGCUGGAUAUAAGCAUAAAACAGGAAUCAAUUGCAUUUCUACAAGUGGAAAUGGAGCAUUUCAAAUAUAUUACACUUAUAGCAUCAUCAAAAAUAUCAAAUAUUAGUAUGACCCCUUUGGAAAACUGAUUGGCAACAUAUCCCAAAAAAGUAAUACAUGCAAACUCUGGACUCAACAAUUUCAUUCUUAGAUAUAUAGACUACAAAACUCAUACAUAUGUUCACAGCAGCACUAUUCACAAUAGCCUCAAACUGGAAAUUUCUCAGAUGCCCACUGCCAGGCCUCUGAGCCCAAGCCAAGCCAUCGCAUCCCCUCUGACUUUCAUGUAUAUGCCCAGAUGGCCUGAAGUAACUGAAGAAUCACAAAAGAAGUGAAAAUGCCCUGCCUCACCUUAACCGAUGACAUUCCACCACAAAAGAAGUGAAAAUGGCUGGUCCUUGCCUUAAGAGAUGAUAUUAUCUUGUGAAAUUCCUUUUCCUGAUUCAUCCUGGCUCAAAAAGCUCCCCCACUGAGCACCUUGUAACCCCCACUCCUGCCUGCCAGAGAACAACCCCCCUUUGACUGUAAUUUUCCUUUACCUACCCAAAUCCUAUAAAACGGCCCCACCCUUAUGUCCCUUCACUGACUCUCUUUUCGGACUCAGCCGCCUGCACCCAUGUGAAAUAAACAGCCAUGUUGCUCACACAAAGCCUGUUUAGUGGUCUCUUCACACGGUCGCACAUGACACCCGCCAACAGUAAAUACUUAAAAAUGAUGUUUUUAUAAGAUGUAAUCUAUAUAGCAAUGAGACUAAUUAAAAUAUACAUAAAAUUAUGAGUAAAUUUUAUAAAUGUUGUAUUGGCUGAAAUUGUUUCAGUAGGUAGCUAGUCAGACAUGAGCAGGGCAGGAGAGGGCUCUCUACCCACACACACACACACACACACCCCAGGACCAGGAACGUCAGGCAACCAUCAGGUGAUGGACAGGUGGUUGUGAAAUCUCUCUAAAAUAAGAAUUGGCCACAGCCAGUGCCAGGGAAAAGCAGUCUCUCAAUAAACAGAAACACCUAAAGCUGGUGAUUAGCAGCUUCCUGUUAAGAUCUCAGGAACUGGGCAAAUGGGCUGAAGCAUGCACACUAAGAGGCAAAAUGGCAGAGUUGAACUGGUGUAUCAUAUUAUAGGAACACUGGCAUGGUAAGGUAAAACCACCUCAAUGGAGCAUGCAUACAACUCCGAUAAACACACUGAACAUGUGACAGCCCACCCCAAGCACAGAAUCAGGAGAGAAGUAACGCAAGACCCCGGAAGCAUGCCAACAUAUAAAACCCCAAGUGAAAAGGUCAAACUGCACACUUGAGCUCUCAAGUCACUUGCUUGGCCCUCUUCCACGUGUAUGUGACUUCCUUUCAUUCCUGCCCUAAAACCUUUGAAUAGACUUUCACUCCCGCUGUAAAACUUGCCUCAGUCAUCUCAGCCUGCUUUAUGCUCCCUCGGUCCAAUUCUUUUUUCUGAGGAGGCAAGAAUUGAGGUUCCUGCAUUCCCAUACGGACUCACCUGCAGUAACAAAAUCAUCUACAAAACAAUACUUACUGGAUGAUUCAAAUUAUUUAAAGGUCAAAAAUAGAUUAGAAUGGGACAGAAGAGGGUAGGGAUUUGGGCUAAUGUGCUAGUUCUUGAUCUGGUGCUAGUUACAAGAGAACUUUCACUUUUGAAAUUUCAUUGAGCUGUUCACUGAUGCUUUAUGUGCUCUUGUGAUAUUAUACUCCAAUAUAAUAGUUCUAAUAGAUAGAACUUAGUAUAAAACUUCUCUCAGAAAACUAUAAAACAUGGAUUGGAAAAAUAAAAGUUGUAAAGACACCAAGUCUCCAAAACUAAUAUAUCUAUUUAAUACAAUCUCAAUGUUGUGGAAAUUAGCAAAUGGUUUUAAAAUUUGUGUGGCAGUGUAAUGGGUCAUACACGAUAAAG
rnacentral:lncRNA from 1 species